GGAGAGGUGACCGAGUGGCUGAAGGUGCUCGCCUGCUAAGCGAGUGUACGGGAAACCGUACCGAGGGUUCGAAUCCCUUCCUCUCCGCCA
rnacentral:tRNA from 1 species